rnacentral:rRNA from 1 species
UACAGAGGGUGCGAGCGUUGUCCGGAAUCACUGGGCGUAAAGGGCGCGUAGGUGGCGCUGCAAGUCGGUGGUGAAAGCUCGUCGCUUAACGGCGAGUCGGCCAUCGAAACUGCAGGGCUGGAGCACUGUAGGGGCAGAUGGAAUUCCGGGUGUAGCGGUGGAAUGCGUAGAGAUCCGGAAGAACACCGGUGGCGAAGGCGGUCUGCUGGGCAGUAGCUGACACUGAGGCGCGACAGCGUGGGGAGCAAACAGG